UCACGCACCUAUUUCAUCUUCCCCAAAUCCCCCUUUCCUCUCACCUGCCUGCCUGCCUUGAUGCACCCCACCUUGAUUCCUGUUCACCGGGAUCCCAACCCACCUCGUCCCGAGCUCGGCGCCAGCCGCUGGCAGAUUUGAUCACUUAUACCGUCCCACUCCGUGAGGCUACUUUGGGCGACCUUGUCGGCGUGCCACCAGAUUUUGGCGUCCAUGGAUGACAACUUGCUCCCUGGGACUCCGCGGGGCUUCCCUGCCUCCCGUCCGUCGGAGAACCAUACAUGAGUCGGAUAAUGGAAGUUCUAUGCUAGCUUUGGAGCUAAUGGGCGCAACUGCAGACAUAUAUGGAUGCGACCGUUGCAUGCAGCACUAAGUGUGAUGGCAGCUGGAACCACCCUGCAAUGAGGAUAAACGCAAGCGAGGAAAACGAGUCUACAGUCUAUAUAGAAACAUAUGACAAGAACUUAGGAUAUAUGACAGGAACUUAGGAAGCAUUGUACUCAUUAUUUGUAACUUGAAGGAAAAGAAAUGUGUAUCAUGUCUGAAACUAAUUGUAUGAAUGAACAAAGCAACAAGUAAAGUUAUGUUAGAUUA